UGUUGUUAUUUGUUUUGUUUUUUGUUUUUGCCCUAGUGUUUCUGGAUGUUUACGUCUUCCAAGUCAGAUGUCCUGGUUUAGACCUGUAUUCUCUGUUGUGAUCUUUGACCCUGCUGUUUGAUUUUUGGACUUUGUGCUU